GAGGAAUGCUUGUUGGUGUUGAGACAGGGUCUCACUUUGUCACCCAGGCUGCAACGCAGUGGCAGGAACACGGCUCAGGCUGACUGCCGCCACUACCUCCGAAGCUCAAGCAGUCCUCUUGCCUCACUAUCUCAACUCUCGGGGACUACAGAGAUGGUGUUUCACCACGUUGCCCAGGCUGGUCUGGAACUCCUGACCCUAAGUGAUCUGCCCACCUCGGCCUCCCAAAGUGCUGGGAUUACAGAGUCUCGUUCUGUCACCCAGGCUGGAGUGCAGUGGCAUGAUCUCAGCUUACUGCAACCUCUGCCUCCUGGGUUCAAGCAAUUCUCCUGCCUCAGCCUCCCGAGUAGCUGGGACUACAGGCAUGUGCCACCACGCCCGGCUAAUUUUUGUAUUUUUAGUGUAGACAGGGUUUCACCCUCUUGGCCAAGUUGGUCUUGAACUCCUGUCCUCAUGAUCUACCUGCCUUGACCUCCCAAAGUGCUGGGAUUACAGGCGUGAGCCACGACGCCCGGCCAAUCUUAUAUUUUUAAGUAUAGUAAUUGCAGUUUUAGGAUAUUUUCUUCCGGUCCCUUCAUUAUCUGUUACUCUCUGGGCUCCUCCUCUUUUGGCUUCUUUUAUGUUGGAGGCUGCCUUCAAUUCUCAGAUGAUCCUUGGCUGUCUGUCCCCACUUAAGAGAGAGCUGCCUGGAAACUCCAUGGGUGGGGUGAGCAGAGAGUCAUAUGUGGGCCUCCCUGGGAGUAAGGAGGGAGGGAGCAGCUUUUGAGUUCCUGUUGGCUUCUUCUCCUGAGUCAGUCAUUAUCUCCAAAAAGGAAUUUUCCAAUCUUCCUUCCCCUGCUUUCAGAGGACCAAGGACUUUUCUGUUUUUGAGCCUUCUUGGGAUCUAAGACUGAUUAUUUUGUUCUUUGUUGGCUCUUCACUCCCUACGUUAUGAGUAGAAUGGAAAAAUCCCAAACUUAAGUCAGUUAUCCUGCACAUCUGGCUUUCCAUGUAUCAAACUAAAUCAGUCUCUCAUUUGCUGUAGUCUUUGUCCUUGUGCUUUUUCAUGUCUUAUUUUUUAUUUAUUUAUUUUUAUUUUUAUUUUUUUUGAGACGGAGUCUCGCUCUGUCACCCAGGCUGGAGUGCAGUAGCGCGAUCUCGGUUCACUGCGAGCUCCGCCUCCCGGGUUCACGCUAUUCUCCUGCCUCAGCCUCCUGAGUAGCUGGGACUACAGGCGCCUGCCACCAUGCCCAGCUAAUGUUUUGUAUUUUUAGUAGAGACAGGGCUUCACCGUGUUAGCCAGGAUGGUGUCGAUCUCCUGACCUCAUGAUCCGCCCGCCUUGGCCUCCCAAAGUGCUGGGAUUACAGGCGUGAGCCACUGCACCCGGCUAUUUUUUAUUUUUCAGACAGGGUCUCACUUUGUUGCCCAGGCUGCAGCACAGUUGCGCCAUCAUGGCUCACUGCAGCCUUGGCCUCCCAGGCUCAGGUGAUCCUCCUACCUUAGCCUCCCCAGUAGCUGGGACUACAGGCACGUGCCACCAUGCCUGGCCUUUUUCACUUCUUUACUCUUAUUUUGAUGUGAUUUCUAGGGUGAGCAGAGAUAAGCUUAAUUCACCACAUAUAACCAGAAGCUCUUUACUUCUUUAAGUUCAAUUACCUAAUUCCUCUAACUCACAAGGUGGUUGUGAAAAUUAAAGGUGGCGGGCAACCUGCUUGGGUCCCCUUCCACACUGUUGAAGCUUUGUUCUUUUGCUCUUUGCAAUAAAUCUUGCUGCUGCUCACUCUUUGGGUCCACACUGCCUUUAUGAGGUGUAACACUCACCGCGAAGGUCUGCAACUUCACUCCUGAAGCCAGAGAGACCACGAACCCACUGGGAGGAACGAACAACUCCAGACGCGCCGCCUUAAGAGCUGUAACACUCACCGCGAAGGUCCGCAGCUUCACUCCUGAGCCAGCGAGACCACGAACCCACCAGAAGGAAGAAACUCCGAACACAUCCGAACAUCAGAAGGAACAAACUCCGGACACGCCGCCUUUAAGAACUGUAACAGUCAUCGCGAGGGUCUGCGGCUUCAUUCUUGAAAUCAGUGAGACCAAGAACCCACCAAUUCCGGACACAAUGCCAUUCUCCUGCCUCAGCCUCCCGAGUAGCUGGGACUACAGGCGGCUGCCACCACGCCUGGCUAAUUUUUUGUAUUUUUAGUAGAGAUGGGGUUUCACUGUGUUAGCCAGGAUGAUCUCGAUCUCCUGACCUCGUGAUCCGCCCGCCUCGGCCUCCCAAAGUGCUGGGAUUACAGGCGUGAGCCACUGCGCCUGGCCCAGUUUAGCUUUUUAACAGCUUAGUUCUUUCAUCUUUGUUUGAAUACAAAGGCCAAGGAAAAUAGUCUACAUGUUAUUUUCAGGAAAAUUUUCUGUAUAAAUUAUUGUUAUUGAAGCAUUAAUUUUCUAUUUCAUGAUCAGGCUGCAUGCCUUGGAAAGGAUGUAGUAUAUGAUGAAAUUGCCCAAUCAUUUGAAUGAUAAUAAAAGUUAAAAAAAAAAGAAAAAAGAAAAUUAAAGGUGGCUGUGUGUGUGUAACAAGAUGUUGAAAGGUUUUCCUGGUUGUGUUGGAGUUUGAGCUGAGUCUUAAGGACAGAAGUGUACACAGGUGCCCCCACAUUGUAGAAAAAUACUUUUCCGGCCACGCAAAAGACAGCA